rnacentral:misc_RNA from 1 species
UCCGGCUUGACGCCGGCAGUCCCCCGAGAGCCCUCAGCAUGACCUGUUAGUAACACGGGGCAAGGGUUGCGCUCGUUGCGGGACUUAACCCAACAUCUCACGACACGAGCUGACGACAGCCAUGCAGCACCUGUGCUGGUGUUCCGAAGAAGGGCCCAACUUUCGUCAGGCUUUCACCAGCAUGUCAAACCUAGGUAAGGUUCUUCGCGUUGCUUCGAAUUAAGCCACAUGCUCCACCGCUUGUGCGGGCCCCCGCCAAUUCCUUUGAGUUUCAACCUUGCGGCCGUAGUCCCCAGGCGGUUCACUUAAUGCGUUAGCUGCGGCACCGAGGGGGUCGCUCCCCCCGACACCUAGCACCCAUCGUUUACGGCGUGGACUAC